UGCACUCCUGUGGAGUUAACUUGUGCUGCUAAGACAGACGAACCAGCUUGUCACUAAAUCUGACUAGCCUCCGGUCUCAAGCUAGGCAUAAGUCUCCACAGAUGCUAUACCUGUAUACCUGAGCACUUUGGCCACUUUGCUUCUGGGUGCCGCCCCCUGCCUCUCCGAUGGUUGGGGACUGUGUGAAUCCCAUCUGCAGCGGUUUCUCAUUUUUUCCUGCCUAGGUUAUCCUUUUGGCUGUCAACUUGUGUCCAUCUGGCCUGAUUUUUCAGGAAGGUGAUGGUAUCAGGGUAUUAUACACCCUGUUGUUUGUUUACAUCCACUACGGACCAGCAGAAUCCAAACUCUGAUCUCAACCACCCCUGAAGAAGCCUAACCAGGCGAAAUAUAUAGGGUUUACCAACCGGGUUGUGAUCUCUGCUACAGUAUUUAUGUCUGUUAUGGAAA